rnacentral:rRNA from 1 species
UGGAUUAGUGGCGAACGGGUGAGUAACACGUGAGUAACCUGCCCUCUUCUUUGGGAUAACGGUCGGAAACGGCUGCUAAUACUGGAUAUUCACUCAUUGGCGCAUGUUGGUGGGUGGAAAGGUUUUUCUGGUGGGGGAUGGGCUCGCGGCCUAUCARCUUGUUGGUGGGGUGAUGGCCUACCAAGGCUUUGACGGGUAACCGGCCUGAGAGGGUGACCGGUCACAUUGGGACUGARAUACSGCCCARACUCCUACSGGAGGCARCAGUGGGGAAUUUUGCACAAUGGGCGCAAGCCUGAUGCARCGACSCCSCGUGAGGGAUGAARGCCUUCGGGUUGUAAACCUUUUUCGCUCAUGGGCAAGCCAUACUGGUGGGUGUGGGGAGGGUAGUGGGUAAAGAAACGCCGGCUAACUACCUGCCAGCAGCCGCGUUAAUUA